rnacentral:tRNA from 1 species
GGGGCCGUAGCUCAGCUGGGAGAGCGGCGGCUUUGCAAGCCGUAGGUCGUCGGUUCGAUCCCGAUCGGCUCCACCA